UACGGAGGGUGCGAGCGUUGUCCGGAAUCACUGGGCGUAAAGGGCGCGUAGGCGGCCUGAUAAGUAGGGGGUGAAAUCCUGCGGCUUAACCGCAGGGCUGCCUUCUAAACUGUCAGGCUCGAGCACAGUAGAGGCAGGUGGAAUUCCCGGUGUAGCGGUGAAAUGCGUAGAUAUCAGGAGGAAUACCGGUGGCGAAGGCGGCCUUCUGGACGAUGACUGACGCUGAGACGCGAAAGCGUGGGGAGCAAACAGG
rnacentral:rRNA from 1 species